rnacentral:piRNA from 1 species
GCCUGCUUGGUGCUCUGCACCCCUGA